rnacentral:rRNA from 1 species
CAAUAGCGUAUAUUAAAGUUGUUGCGGUAAAAAAGCUCGUAGUUGGAUUUCUGUUGAGAGCGACCGGUCCAUACCAUGUAUGCGUAUCUGGCUUGCUCUCGGCAUCCUCUCGAUAGACGUUACUGCGCUUGAUUGCGUGGUGCGGAUCUCGGGACUUUUACUUUGAGGAAAUUAGAGUGUUCACGGCAGGCUUUCGCCAGAAUACAUUAGCAUGGAAUAAUACUAUAGGAUCUUGGUUCUAUUUUGUUGGUUUCUAGAAUUGAGAUAAUGAUUAAUAGGGACAAUUGGGGGCAUUCGUAUCAACACGUCAGAGGUGGAAUUCUUGGAUUGUGUUGCGACGAACUACUGCGAAAGCAUUUGCCAAGGAUGUUUUCAUUGA